CCUGUGUUUCACUUGUCAAUGGCACAUGUGUUCAGCCCUUUUGCUGAGCAGUUGAAGCCGGCUGAGUCACGCUGCUGCCUGGGUCUUUUCUGGGCUUCCCCCUUGUCUGAUCCUGGCUCCUCCCUCUCUGUGUGUCCUCUAGGAGACGGCUCCAUCGCCUGCUCCGGCUGUUGGUGGCGUGUUGGGACAUGCCUUGACUUGUACUGCCGGAUUGAAGCAGAAAGAGUAGACUUUUAAAGAGGGAGGAGAGGCAGAAGAGGCCAUUGGUCAAGAGUUGGAGAAGAACAGUGGGAAGUGGCCAACUGGACGCUACAAGCUGCAGUCAAUGCCAGCACCAGUGGGCACUCAGAUGGAUGAAAGAGCGUCUAUCUAUGGCUGGUGCGGGUGCAGAACUCCAACCAUGAGAAUUUUAUAGUCACCACAACAAAACCAGUGGCUGAAACUUGUGAACGUCAGAAUUACUGAAGAGAGCAUGAGGCCAGCAAACAGCGUGGCAUCCCACAGCAGAAAGGAAGUGGAGACGGAGGAGGGCUGUUUGGAUGCGGCUGCUGUGGGUGUUUCUCUGGCAGUGUCUUAGCUGGUUGUUGUGAGGAGUGAGAACGAAGCAAUCAGCAAGUAUACUGCCGCAGAAAUUCUUCGCAAUAAGAGGCCUUUGAGAUCAGCUGGACACUGAGGAAACCAGCAGGAUGGUUUAACAUUGGUCUGGAACUCAUGCAAAGAGAUUGACUUCAAGCAUGGCAUUUUUAUAACAUCUACAAUAUUUUCACUUGGAUCACAGCGUCAAGCUUCUUCAGCAUGUUUUAUGAUCCUCUGCUGCCAUCUUGUGACUGGCCUCCCAGCAUGCCCCUGAAAAUCAAUACUGCAUUUUUUAUGGAUGAACUGAAAAAAGAUCAUUCAUAAGUAUGGCUUGAAAUUGCUUGUUUUAAGUUGCAAAUGCAUGAGCACUUUGAUAGGAGUUGCAGCAUAUUAAGUAUUAUGGGAAAUGCGUUUGGAUAAAAAAUAAAAAUUAAA
ensembl:lncRNA